GAUGAACGCUGGCGGCGUGCUUAACACAUGCAAGUCGAACGAUGAACCUCACUUGUGGGGGGACUAGUGGCGAACGGGUGAGUAACACGUGAGUAACCUGCCCUUGACUCUGGGAUAAGCCUGGGAGACCGGGUCUAAUACUGGAUACGACCUUCCCGCGCAUGCGGUGUUGGUGGAAAGCUUUUGUGGUUUUGGAUGGACUCGCGGCCUAUCAGCUUGUUGGUGGGGUAAUGGCCUACCAAGGCGACGACGGGUAGCCGGCCUGAGAGGGUGACCGGCCACACUGGAACUGAGACACGGCCCAGACUCCUACGGGAGGCAGCAGUGGGGAAUAUUGCACAAUGGGCGCAAGCCUGAUGCAGCGACGCCGCGUGAGGGAUGAAGGCCUUCGGGUUGUAAACCUCUUUCAGUAAGGAAGAAGCCGGCCCUUUGGGUUGGUGACGGUACCUGCAGAAGAAGCGCCGGCUAACUACGUGCCAGCAGCCGCGGUAAUACGUAGGGCGCAAGCGUUAUCCGGAAUUAUUGGGCGUAAAGAGCUCGUAGGCGGUUUGUCGCGUCUGCCGUGAAAGUCCGGGGCUUAACUCCGGAUCUGCGGUGGGUACGGGCAGACUAGAGUGCAGUAGGGGAGACUGGAAUUCCUGGUGUAGCGGUGAAAUGCGCAGAUAUCAGGAGGAACACCGAUGGCGAAGGCAGGUCUCUGGGCUGUAACUGACGCUGAGGAGCGAAAGCAUGGGGAGCGAACAGGAUUAGAUACCCUGGUAGUCCAUGCCGUAAACGUUGGGCACUAGGUGUGGGGGACAUUCCACGUUUUCCGCGCCGUAGCUAACGCAUUAAGUGCCCCGCCUGGGGAGUACGGCCGCAAGGCUAAAACUCAAAGGAAUUGACGGGGGCCCGCACAAGCGGCGGAGCAUGCGGAUUAAUUCGAUGCAACGCGAAGAACCUUACCAAGGCUUGACAUGAACCGGAAUGAUGCAGAGAUGUGUCAGCCACUUGUGGCCGGUUUACAGGUGGUGCAUGGUUGUCGUCAGCUCGUGUCGUGAGAUGUUGGGUUAAGUCCCGCAACGAGCGCAACCCUCGUUCCAUGUUGCCAGCGGGUUAUGCCGGGGACUCAUGGGAGACUGCCGGGGUCAACUCGGAGGAAGGUGGGGACGACGUCAAAUCAUCAUGCCCCUUAUGUCUUGGGCUUCACGCAUGCUACAAUGGCCGGUACAAAGGGUUGCGAUACUGUGAGGUGGAGCUAAUCCCAAAAAGCCGGUCUCAGUUCGGAUUGAGGUCUGCAACUCGACCUCAUGAAGUUGGAGUCGCUAGUAAUCGCAGAUCAGCAACGCUGCGGUGAAUACGUUCCCGGGCCU
rnacentral:rRNA from 1 species